UACGUAGGUGGCAAGCGUUGUCCGGAAUUAUUGGGCGUAAAGCGCGCGCAGGCGGUCCUUUUAAGUCUGAUGUGAAAGCCCACGGCUCAACCGUGGAGGGUCAUUGGAAACUGGGGGGACUUGAGUGCAGAAGAGGAGAGUGGAAUUCCACGUGUAGCGGUGAAAUGCGUAGAGAUGUGGAGGAACACCAGUGGCGAAGGCGACUCUCUGGUCUGUAACUGACGCUGAGGCGCGAAAGCGUGGGGAGCAAACAGG
rnacentral:rRNA from 1 species